UACGUAGGGGGCAAGCGUUGUCCGGAUUUACUGGGCGUAAAGAGCGUGUAGGCGGCCAAGCAGGUCCGUUGUGAAAACUGGAGGCUUAACCUCCAGACGUCGACGGAAACCGCGUGGCUAGAGUCCGGAAGAGGAGAGUGGAAUUCCUGGUGUAGCGGUGAAAUGCGCAGAUAUCAGGAAGAACACCAAUGGCGAAGGCGGAUCUCUGGGCCUUACCUGACGCUCAGGCACGAAAGCUAGGGGAGCGAACAGG
rnacentral:rRNA from 1 species